GACGAACGCUGGCGGCGUGCCUAAUACAUGCAAGUCGAACGCAGUGGGGACGGGUGAGUAACACGUGGGUAACCUCCCAUCAGAGGGGAUAACACUUGGAUACAGGUGCUAAACCGAUAUUGAAGGAUGGACCUGCGGGGCAUUAGCUUGUUGGUGAGGUAACGGCCAACCAAGGCGACGAUGCAUAGCUGACCUGAGAGGGUGAUCGGCCACACUGGAACUGAGACACGGCCCAGACUCCUACGGGAGGCAGCAGUAGGGAAUCUUCGGCAAUGGGCGAAAGUCUGACCGAGCAACGCCGCGUGAGUGAAGAAGGUUUUCGGAUCGUAAAGCUCUUUUGUUAGAGAAGCGGUAUCUAACCAGAAAGCCACGGCUAACUACGUGCCAGCAGCCGCGGUAAUUC
rnacentral:rRNA from 1 species